AAAAGCUAACUUUCGCAUGAAAGAAGUUUUAAAAAGGACGGCGUAAAGCUGUCGCUAAAGGAUGGACCUGCGAUGCAUUAGCUAGUUGGUAAGGUAACGGCUUACCAAGGCGAUGAUGCAUAGCCCGAGUUGAGAGACUGAUCGGCCACAUUGGGACUGAGACACGGCCCAAACUCCUACGGGAGGCAGCAGUAGGGAAUCUUCCACAAUGGACGAAAGUCUGAUGGAGCAACGCCGCGUGAGUGAAGAAGGUUUUCGGAUCGUAAAGCUCUGUUGUUGGUGAAGAAGGAUAGAGGUAGUAACUGGCCUUUAUUUGACGGUAAUCAACCAGAAAGUCACGGCUAACUACGUGCCAGCAGCCGCGGUAAU
rnacentral:rRNA from 1 species